AUCACACCCCAAACUCCUGGCGAACUUAACCAUACUCCUGGCAAUCUCCAACACCUCCUCUUUACUCUUCCUCAACUUAUACUGCAUAUGGAUCUCACUUGUCGCAAUAAACGUGUGAAUCCUCGGCAUCUUGGCAUACUUCACAGCCUCCCACAGUCCCAUCAAUUCAUUCCAAUGAAACACAAAAUCAGGAGAAAUUUUAACAACCCAGAAACCAAACUUGUCAAAGAUUUCUUCAGAGUAUCCACAGAGAGUGAAGAAAGAAUUGCAAAGAGACUUGAUGACCCUCAACUUUCCUACACAAAUUCCCUGUUACACUCAUCCUGCACCCCUAUCUCACCUUAACACUCAUUCCUGGGAUUAUCACAUUACACCCAAUUGGCCAAAAUCCUUUACCUGAUUUUUUUCCAAUCAAAAUCUUCCAUAAAUUUCUCGAAAUCUAAUCUUUCAAACCAAUCAAACAAACAAAACCAGAGAAAAAAAAAAUGCAGAACAUAGCUUCACAUGAUUAAUGAAUAGAGAAAACACACGGACCCUAUACCAAUCUGCAAGCAGGUGAUUAAGAUGGAGCCAUUUCCCUUUCCCUUGCAACCCAUGUAGCCCUGCUACUCUCCUUUGCAGCCCGACAACCACUCUGUGCAAGCACUUGUGCCACUCUCAUUCCAAACACAACGGACUCUUGAACCCAAUAUACUUAACAAAUCUUGAAAUCCAAGAUGGAUUUUUGUCUCCCUUGCAUUGACGUAGAUAAUACUGCCUCUACUGUAUUAGCUUCAAUCAACCAUUAGCUUUGGAUGAUUUUGCAAAAUGAACAAUACCCAACAGUUCAAUGCUUAGGAGAUGAGGCCUGAGGAGCUCCUGGCGUCCUUGUUCAUAGGUAAACCAGUUCUCGAUGGUUUAGUUGGGUUGCGGUGAAAUGGGUUGUUGGUGCUUAGACAUAAUGGGGAAGGAAGAGAGAGAGGGUUCGGGGUUGAGAGACGGUUCAGGGAGAAUUGAGCAAAUAAGCAACGGCUUGGCAACUUGAGCAUUGAAUUCGGAGCAUCAACUGCCUUCUUUGAAAACGAAUCUGCAAGAAAUAUGACUAAAAGCUAAAGAGAGAAAUAGGGAUUAAACAAGGAGAGGGGAAGGGAAGGAGAGUGGAGGGUAUCUUAAUCUUUUUAACUAUGACUAAAAGUUAAGUGAAUGAAAGGACUUCCAAUUUUAACAACAUUAAAUCUGAGGGACUAAUAGUUUAAUUUUCAGAAUGCUGGACUAAGUUGUAAUUAGUACUAAAACCUAGGGACCAAAUUGUAAAUUUCCCAACU
rnacentral:misc_RNA from 1 species